rnacentral:misc_RNA from 1 species
AACAUCGCGCACCUGCGGGAACCUGCGGAAGGAUCAUUAGCGAGUCUAACUCUCUAAAACCAUUGUGAACGAACUGCCACGUUGCUUCGGCGGGGUCAAACCCGCCGGCAGAACGCAAACUAUGCUAUAUUUGUUUCUCUGAGUACACUUUUAAUAAGUAAAAACUUUCAACAACGGAUCU